rnacentral:lncRNA from 1 species
AAUAAUACUAUUUUAUUGUUUGUCUUUAGAAACUAUCCUCUUUCCUUCUCAGUUUUUGUUUGGCACUAUCAGAUUUUUACCUUCUGAAUUAAUUUAUAAGUGAUCAUAAAUACAGUCAUGCACUGUAUAAUGAUGUUUUGGCAUCUAUGAUGUUGGUCCCAUAAGAUAAUAAUGGAACUGAAAAGUUCCUGUCAGCAAGUGACAUUGUAGCCAUUGUAAUGUUGUAGCACAAUUCAUUACUCUAUUACUCAUGUGUUUCUGGUAAUGCUGGUGGAAACAAACCAGCUGCGCGACCCAUCAUUUAAUAUUUGAUAAUGAUAAACUAGUAUGUUAACUAGUAUAUGUAUUUUUACACGUUUAAUCAUUAUUUUAGAGUGUACGCCUUCUACUUCUAAAAACAAAGUUAACUGUAAAAUAGACUCAGGUAAGUCCUUCAGGAGGUAUUCCAGAAGAAGGCAUUGUUGUCAUGGGAGAUAACAGCUCCAUGCAUGUUAUUGCCCCUGAAGACCUUCCAGUAAAACGAGAUGUGGAGGUAGAAGACAGUGAUAUUUGACCCUGAUCCUAUGUAGGUCUAGGCUAAUGUGUG